rnacentral:rRNA from 1 species
UACGGAGGGGCUAGCGUUGUUCGGAAUUAUCUGGGCGUAAAGCGCACGUAGGCGGCUUUGAUAAGUUAGAGGUGGAAAGCCCAGGGCUUAACCCUGGAAUUGCCUUUAAGACUGCAUCGCUAGGAAUCGUGGAGAGGUGAGUGGAAUUCCGAGUGUAGAGGUGAAAUUCGUAGAUAUUCGCAAGAACACCAGUGGCGAAAGGCGGCUCACUGGCCCGAUAACUGACGGACUGAG